AUACUCACGUCGUGCCGGGGCCUCGUUGAUCACCGAGGACGAGCACCCAGGGUUAGGCGCGGACAUUGCACUGUGCAGGCGUUGACCCCUGCCACUACUCAGAACUGGGGCAAGUGGUGCAUGGAAAUUGCUUAAAUCCGGUUCAACGCAAGAGAGGGCGCCGUC
rnacentral:snRNA from 1 species